rnacentral:rRNA from 1 species
ACUCAAAGGAAUUGACGGGGGCCUGCACAAGCGGUGGAGUAUGUGGCUUAAUUCGAUGCAACGCGAAGAACCUUACCUGGCCUUGACAUGUAGGUACUAGGGAAGCGAAAGCCGACCGAGGUAGCAAUACCAGCUUACACAGGUGCUGCAUGGCUGUCGUCAGCUCGUGUCGUGAGAUGUUGGGUUAAGUCCCGCAACGAGCGCAACCCUCGCAUCCAGUUGCCACCCGGAUUUGUUUCUGGAGCACUUUGGAUGAACCGCCUCGCUUCAACGAGGAGGAAGGUGGGGACGACGUCAAGUCAGUAUGGCCCUUACGGCCAGGGCUGCACACGUACUACAAUGCCCGGUACAAUGGGACGCCAGCCAGCAAUGGUCAGCAAAUCCCAAAAACCGGGCUCAGUUCAGAUUGCCGGCUGCAAUUCGCCGGCAUGAAGCUGGAAUCGCUAGUAAUGGCGCAUCAGCUACGGCGCCGUGAAUACGUUCCCAGGCCUUGUACACACCGCCCGU